rnacentral:rRNA from 1 species
UAUCGCGUAUACAAUCUGCCUCAUACUAGGGAAUAGCCCGAAGAAAUUUGGAUUAAUGCCCUAUAGUAUCUUUUUAAGGCAUCUUAUUAAGAUUAAAGGUUACGGUAUGAGAUGAGUAUGCGUUCUAUUAGCUAGUAGGUGUGGUAACGGCACACCUAGGCUACGAUAGAUAGGGGCCCUGAGAGGGGGAUCCCCCACACUGGUACUGAGACACGGACCAGACUCCUACGGGAGGCAGCAGUAAGGAAUAUUGGUCAAUGGACGAAAGUCUGAACCAGCCAUGCCGCGUGCAGGAUGACUGCCCUAUGGGUUGUAAACUGCUUUUAUAUAGGAAGAAAAACUUUCUCGUGAGAAAGC